GACGUAAGUCCAAAGAGUUUAUCGCCUUUAGAUGGGCCCGCGUUGGAUUAGCUAGUUGUGGGUAAAGGCCUACCAAGGCGACGAUCCAUAGCUGGUCUGAGAGGAUGAUCAGCCACACUGGGACUGAGACACGGCCCAGACUCCUACGGGAGGCAGCAGUGGGGAAUACUUGGGACAAUCGGGCGAAAGCCUGAUCCAGCAAUGCCGCGUGAGUGAUGAAGGCCUUAGGGUUGUAAAGCUCUUUUACCCGAGAUGAUAAUGACAGUAUCGGGAGAAUAAGCUCCGGCUAACUCCGUG
rnacentral:rRNA from 1 species